AGAAUCAACGCUGGCGGCGUGCCUAACACAUGCAAGUCGAACGAGAAAGUGGAGCAAUCCAUGAGUAAAGUGGCGCACGGGUGAGUAACACGUGACUAACCUACCCUUGAGUGGGGAAUAACCUAGGGAAACCUGGGCUAAUACCGCAUAACACCUACGGGUCAAAGGAGCAAUUCGCUUAAGGAGGGGUCGCGGCAGAUUAGCUAGUUGGCGGGUAAUGGCCCACCAAGGCAGUGAUCUGUA
rnacentral:rRNA from 1 species